rnacentral:lncRNA from 1 species
CGUGCAGCGCCUCCAUGUGGAUUUGAUACCGACCCUGAUAUCAAUUUCCCCACAUUAAACCCAGCAUAUAUGAGGUUAAAACCAAAGCACUCAUUCCCCACUUACUCUCUGGCUUCCGGGCUCCAGAAUCCAUUAUCCUCCAUGGAGACAGACACCGUCAAGGACAAGCACCUGGAUUAUCUCCUCCCCACAAAGAGAUACAGGCUGGUGGGAAAGCUGCUGACCAGCAAGGUCACGGGCUCCCUCCUCUCUGCAAGUAGUCUCAAGGCCAAAGACAGGCUGGUGGGAAAGCUCCGACCAGCAAGGCCAUAUGCUCCCCCUCCCCUACCUAAAGCCCCAAAUAAAAACCCUUCCUUUUAGCUUUUCGGGGAGUUUGGGAUUUCAGCGUUAGCUGCCCUCUCUUCUUGCUCAGCGCUGUGCAAAAAUAGAAUUCCUACUUUCUUCCACCACCCCCGGUGUCAGAGAUUAGCUUGCUGCGCAACGGGACCGGCCGGAAAUAAUGGGUACCUUGGCAGCCCUCUGGGCUCUGUUUGUUUUGAAGUCGCCGCGACGCCCCGGCCAAAUUUUGAAAAACUUCUUAUUAAAUAACUGGUUACUUACUUAUAUGAUACAGGCCUAACUUAAGGAGCCCACCAGCAUCACUGCCUUAUUUAAAGACUGGUUCAAUGAGAUGAAACAACCUACACCCCAUUUCAGCAGGAAGUAGCUAGAUCGGUCAUCACCCCAAAUCCCUCAAGAUUGAAGGAUGGACAUAAAAGAGGGGGGAGUUGAUACCGAUCCUGAUAUCAAUUUCCCCACAUUAAACCCAGCAUAUAUGAGGUUAAAACCAAAAUACUCAUUCCCCGCUUACUCUCUGGCUUCCGGGCUCCAGAAUCCACUAUCCUCCAUGGAGACAGACAGCGUCAAGGACAAGCACCUGGACUAUCUCCUCCCACAGAGAUACAGGCUGGUGGGAAAGCUGCUGACCAGCAAGGUCACGGGCUUCCUCCUCUCUGCAAGUGUCUCAAGGCCAAAGACAGGCUGGUGGGAAAGCUCCGACCAGCAAGGCCAUAUGCUCCCCCUCCACUACCUAAAGCCCCAAAUAAAAACCCUUCUUUUUAGCUUUUCAGGGAGUUUGGGAUUUCAGCGUUAGCCGCCCUCUCUCCUUGCUCAGCACUGUGCAAAAAUAAAGUUCCUACUUUCUUCCACCA